rnacentral:rRNA from 1 species
GAGGGGCCCGCGCCUGAUUAGCUAGUUGGUGAGGUAACGGCCCACCAAGGCGACGAUCAGUAGCCGGCCUGAGAGGGCGGACGGCCACACUGGGACUGAGACACGGCCCAGACUCCUACGGGAGGCAGCAGUGGGGAAUUGUUCGCAAUGGGCGCAAGCCUGACGACGCAACGCCGCGUGGAGGACGAAGAUCUUCGGGUCGUAAACUCCUGUCGAGCGGGAAGAACGCUUUGCGGCUGAAUAAUCCGCAGAGGUGACGGUACCGCUAAAGGAAGCCCCGGCUAACUCCGUGCCAGCAGCCGCGGUAAUACGGGGGGGGCAAGCGUUGUUCGGAAUUACUGGGCGUAAAGGGCUCGUAGGUGGCCAACUAAGUCAGACGUGAAAUCCCCAGGCUCAACUUGGGAACUGCGUCUGAUACUGGAUGGCUUGAAUUCGGGAGAGGGAUGCAGAAUUCCAGGUGUAGCGGUGAAAUGCGUAGAUAUCUGGAGGAAUACCGGUGGCGAAGGCGGCAUCCUGGACCGAGAUUGACACUGAUGAGCGAAAGCCAGGGGAGCAAACGGGAUUAGAUACCCCGGUAGUCCUGGCCCUAAACGAUGAAUGCUUGGUGU